rnacentral:rRNA from 1 species
UACGUAGGGGCCUAGCGUUGUCCGGAUUUAUUGGGCGUAAAGAGCGCGCAGGCGGUCGUUCAAGUCGCGUGUGAAAGCCCCCGGCUCAACUGGGGAGGGUCACGCGAUACUGAUCGACUCGAAGGCAGGAGAGGGAAGUGGAAUUCCCGGUGUAGUGGUGAAAUGCGUAGAUAUCGGGAGGAACACCAGUGGCGAAGGCGACUUCCUGGCCUGUUCUUGACGCUGAGGCGCGAAAGCUAGGGGGAGCAAACGGG